rnacentral:lncRNA from 1 species
GCAGAGGGUGAAAAGAUCAGAAGAAUUCAAAGGCUUGAUACCAUGUUCAACCAAAAUAGAGAAGUUCGUUUCUGGAUCAAUGUUAAAACUGACAGAGAUGUUCACAUGAUGAUGUAUAGUUCUUAGGAAAUUGUCUUGAUGGUUGUAAUUGCAUAGUUAUGUUGUUUAAUUGUUGUAUUUGUUUGUUUUGUUGUUUAAAGAAUUGUUUAGUUGUUGUUUAUAAACUAUUGUAACAGAAUGUUAUGAUAUAGUUGUUUUUAAUACAAAUCAAAACGGUUAC